rnacentral:rRNA from 1 species
UGGGCCAACCGGGCGGACAUGCGGAUUAUUCGAUGCAACGCGAAGAACCUUACCAAGGCUUGACAUGAACCGGUAAUACCUGGAGACAGGUGCCCCGCUUGCGGUCGGUUUACAGGUGGUGCAUGGUUGUCGUCAGCUCGUGUCGUGAGAUGUUGGGUUAAGUCCCGCAACGAGCGCAACCCUCGUUCUAUGUUGCCAGCACGUGAUGGUGGGGACUCAUAGGAGACUGCCGGGGUCAACUCGGAGGAAGGUGGGGACGACGUCAAAUCAUCAUGCCCCUUAUGUCUUGGGCUUCACGCAUGCUACAAUGGCCGGUACAAAGGGUUGCGAUACUGUGAGGUGGAGCUAAUCCCAAAAAGCCGGUCUCAGUUCGGAUUGGGGUCUGCAACUCGACCCCAUGAAGUCGGAGUCGCUAGUAAUCGCAGAUCAGCAACGCUGCGGUGAAUACGUUCCCGGGCCUUGUACAACCCCGCCCGAGA